rnacentral:rRNA from 1 species
GCUCAGGAUGAACGCUAGCUACAGGCUUAACACAUGCAAGUCGCAGGGUAACAUGAGGAAAGCUUGCUUUCCUUGAUGACGACUGGCGCACGGGUGAGUAACGCGUAUCCAACCUUCCCAUAACAACGGGAUAACCCGUUGAAAGACGGCCUAAUACCGUAUGAUAUCGUUUGCUGACAUCAAAUAACGAUUAAAGGUUUAGCGGUUAUGGAUGGGGAUGCGUCUGAUUAGCUUGUUGGCGGGGUAACGGCCCACCAAGGCUACGAUCAGUAGGGGUUCUGAGAGGAAGGUCCCCCACAUUGGAACUGAGACACGGUCCAAACUCCUACGGGAGGCAGCAGUGAAGAAUAUUGGUCAAUGGGCGAGAGCCUGAACCAGCCAAGUA